rnacentral:rRNA from 1 species
CCUACGGGUGGCAGCAGUGGGGGAUAUUGCACAAUGGGGGAAACGCUGAUGCAGCGAAGCCGCGUGUGGGAAGACGGUCUUCUGGAUUGUAAACCACUGUCCCCAGGGACGAAAAUGACGGUACCUGGGGAGGAAGCUACGGCUAACUACGUGCGAGAAGCCGCGGUAAUUCGUAGGGAGCAAGCGUUGACCGGAAUUACUGGGUGUAAAGGGAGCGUAGGCGGGGAAUCAAGUGGGGUGUAACAUCUACCGGCUCAACCGAUAGUCGCACUCAAAACUGCAACUCUUGAGUGAAGUAGAGGCAGGCGGAAUUCCUAGUGUAGCGGUGAAAUGCGUAGAUAUUAGGAGGAACACCAGUGGCGAAGGCGGCCUGCUGGGCUUUUACUGACGCUGAGGCUCGAAAGUGUGGGGAGCAAACAGGAUUAGAUACCCCAGUAGUC